rnacentral:rRNA from 1 species
UACGGAGGGCGCAAGCGUUGUUCGGAAUCACUGGGCGUAAAGCGCGUGUCGGCGGCUUGGCAAGUCGGGUGUGAAAUCCCGAGGCUCAACCUCGGAACUGCACUCGAAACUGCCUGGCUCGAGUCCCGGAGAGGGUGGCGGAAUUCCCGGUGUAGGGGUGAAAUCCGUAGAUAUCGGGAGGCACACCAGUGGCGAAGGCGGCCACCUGGACGGUGACUGCCGCUGAGACGCGAAAGCGUGGGGAGCAAAUAGG